AUUCCAUGAUGUGGGUAUCUCCUAAGAAACUCCUUCAAUCAUUCUCGUGCUUCAUAACAUGAUUCAUCAUCCAUCUGCAUAAAAUUAGUAAUAUUGUUACGCAAUUU
rfam:Eucalyptus grandis cultivar BRASTZ1 unplaced genomic scaffold scaffold_3, whole genome shotgun sequence.